rfam:Felis catus isolate Cinnamon breed Abyssinian chromosome E2, whole genome shotgun sequence.
GCCUGGGUGGCUCAGUCGGUUGAGCGUCCGACUUCAGCCCAGGUCACGAUCUCGCGGUCCGUGAGUUCGAGCCCCACAUCAGGCU